CCUUCGGACCCAACGUCCAUUGAAAUGGACAUGACAUAUUUCUGUCUCUAAACCAAUAAAUACCCUGCAACUGAAUGAUGUCAAUAAUGCUGGUUACUGAUUGGAUCCUGCUUAUCCAAUCACAAUCAUGUCAUGACUUUGAGCAUGCUCAGAGACAGUGACAAACAUCGGACAAGACAAGCAUGGCGGAGCAGCUGCAGAGAGGGAGGAAGUAUCGAGUUGAAGACUUUCUUGAACGGCUUGUAAACGGAGAGUUAUCUGAGCUUGACUCUUUGAAUUCAGGAGAUGAGGGGGAUGGGACCAGGAUUGAGAUAGGUGUUUCUGGGAUUUCCUGGUGAUGACCUCACUUCUGUUCCCUACCUAUGCUGUGAUAUCC